rnacentral:lncRNA from 1 species
UUCACCUGCAUCUGCCGAGAUCUUCAGUUUCAUCUUAGAAACCCUAAACCAACCCACCAUCCACCGCUACACCAUCCAUCUCGGGCACCACCGAAUCCGGCCACCGAGCACCUCUCCACACUCCUUUAGGCUUUAACCAUUUCCCCACAACAAUUUCGCCAGAAAACCUCACUUCCCAACAGAGACUGUCAUCGUCUCCGGUCGCACCACCGUCGCCAAACGGCGGAUAUGAUGUGUCAAACUUUUUUCAAAGAGAGACAUGCCAGGUUGUAAAGCACCACUAUUGGAAACACCGCCAUCAUCUCCGGUCGCACCACCACCGCUAAUAUGUGCUUAAAAGCUGUCUAGGGUUUUCAUUUGGUCACAGUGUACUAUAACGGAAGUUGAUAUCGGCAUGCCGGAGCCUGGUGAUUCGAUCGUAAAGAAGCCUAAACACGAUCAUAAAUUGUCUAGGGUUUUCAUCAGUUCAGCAUCCUAUUGCAUGACGUGCUAUCUCUCUCCGCAUAGUCUCUGCCGGUAGCCAGAACGGUGGUUGUGGGCGCAGGAAAAGAGAGUGACGACAGUGACGGUAAGGUCCUGGUAGUGAUGUCUCCGUCGAUGGUUUGACCAUGUGCUUCGCUACGAACAACUGCGCACUUAGCUAUGUUUUCGAUGGAAUUCUAGCAAGACGAUUUCGCUGGUAAUCAAAUGUAGGUAGUUCAUGGCGUAAGAAUGCUGCAACACUUGAUAGUGAUGAUAGAUAUUGCGAAUUCAUAAUAGAUGAUUUAGUCCGAUUAUAUGAUGAGUUCUGCUGUGGAGGAUGUGCAACUUGGAAAAUAAAGUGUGUUGGAUCAGAGUUUAAACACUUUGUAUGAGAAAAGAUUUGCAACAUUAAUGCUGCAUCAAGAUUUGAAUUUGUAAAGAAGAGGUCUGCUAAAGAGAUAGGUUGCAUUAUCGGUGCUCGUGAGACGCCUGUGUGAGAACUGUUGAAUAUGGGUUGCAUCAUAAUUCACAUUGUUGCUUAAGUUUCUUUAUUAAACUGAUGUAUCAUCCAAAAUUGUUAACUUGGGAUGAAACAUAAUUAACCUUAUGUUGUUAGUAGUUAAAAGAAAAUUAUAAGAGUUGUUCAUGUUAAUGAUAUGCUAGAAAUGAGGUAAAACAUAGAAACAGUUGUGUCAUACGAUCAGACAAAAAAAGUGUUGAGAUCUUUGAACUGGUGUCGCAGUGGGUACAAAGCAACAGUCGGUGUACAAAGACUAUAGUUGAUUUUGCCAUGCCCUAAUUAAUCUAAGCUAAACAACUAUAAAAAAACAACUGGAAACCCCAAUGUGAAAAAUGAAAAAAGGGGGAAACAGAUAACGUAAGGAAAAGAGAAAAUUAAUCUCAUCUUCAUGCUUGAGAUAUGCAUGACCGUGAACAUAUUUGGUUUCGAACCCAUGUAUGUACACGUCUCCACCUUCAUCAAAUCGUAGGCGUAGCCAUGACUACCCAACACCACCAUAUCAACACCCAGCUUCUCCGCCACAUUGCAGAUCACAUCCCUCGGAACAUCGAUAUCAACUCUCGUCUCUACCUUCACCUACACAAAACAACCCAAUUCACCACCGUCAUCCAUUAGAUUGAUGUUUGUUAUUGAAAUUCAAUAUUUUUGGGAAAAAAAGUGUUAUUCCCAGAUUUUAUUGUUUUCUAUAUCGGACAAGCUUUCUUCUGACCAAAAAA